AUCCCCCCCCCCCCCCCCCCAAGAGCUGUAUAUGCAUGUCUGUAUGUAUUCAGAAUACACUGAAAUAUUUACAUAUAAAAAUGUUUUAGGCUUAUGCAUCCAAUGCAAAAAAAAAAGCCAAUGUUAAAUAAAUGAAGUUUAAUGAAUAAUAAACUUAAGCUUAAAUUCAAAUUAAACUCAAUUAAAGUUUUUAUUACUUAUAUUUGUGAUCAUGGCGCCACUUCUGCCUGCAGGUCUUUACUGAUUGGACCUUCAGCUUUUAAAGUUUUAAAAUAAAUGAAAUUCAGAUAUUUAAAAAUGUAAAAAUGUAAAAGUCAGUCGUUGCCUCAGAACUGGUUUAAAUGGAGUUAAAUCAUAUUUAUUUUUUAAUAAAUUCAUGCAUAAUUCCAGCUUGUCUGAUAUAUAUAUAUAUAUAUAUAUAUAUAUAUAUAUAUAUAUAUAUAUAUAUAUAUAUAUGUGCUGUUGAUGGGUUUGUGCUUUACUGAGGAUCCUGGAUUGAGCUCCUCGGGUUCUGCAGCUGAAGGUUCUCCUGAUGUUCAGGGCAUUAAGCUUCUGCUGGUGUUUGUGUGUAAAGGGUUAAUAUGAGGUACAGUAUCAGUCUAAACUCUGAACACACCUGAUUUAAUGAAUGUGAAUCCGAUAUUUAUCGUUAUGCACAGGUUUUUUGCAGAUCUCUUUGGUGGCCAUUGUAACAAGAAGCGCAGUAAACUAGCUUAUAACAUUCAGAAAAUGUUAUUUUAGAUGUGUUGCUUUACUUGAAGCAGCAGUACUUGGGAAUUUGAUGCAUUUGUUGCUUUUGUAAUUUAAUUUUACUCCACCGCAGUAAAUACAAAUCAGGCAUUUAAGCGCUCACAUACAUACAGCUGUACACAUGCUUUUCUGGACAAGCUGAGAAAUCCAGAAGCAGCACCUGAAGUAUAAUAUUUUUUGUGAUUUCACAGUUUUAAUGCAAUUUACUGCUAUUCUAAAUUAGAGAUUUAUAUUUAGGCCCAAUCCCAUUUCACCCCUUACGCUUACCACUUGUUUUUGAGUAAAACAGAGUUGGAAGAGGUGAAAAGGGGUGAAAUCCUCCUUUAAGCACCUGAUACGUCACCAGGAACGCUAAAGUUCAGUAACCUAACUGCUGCUGCUGCUGGUUGACUAGAUAACUUUAGGGCGCAUUUUAUUGUUAGUCUUCAGAAAGGGGGGAGAUGGUGCAGAAAUAAAUUAUAAAUAUUAUUGUCCGUUCCUAAAAUCCUCUGUGAUGAGAAGCUAAAAUUAGCUUUGAUUAGCUUUUAUUUUAUUUGGUCUGUAAUCUGUUUUUACUCCUAUGCAGUAAAUACAAAUCAGGCUUUGGGUUCCGCCUCAUGGACAGCUGUACACAUGCAUUUCUGGACAAGCUGAGAGAUUUAUUUAUUUAUUUUUUAAAUAAUCAGUAGUUAUUUUUUUUGCUACAGUAACUAGUAAGAUUGUAUACUUAACCCUUUGUAUAUAGCUCUGUCAAAAAAAAAAACACUACUAUAAAUUUCACUAUAAAAAUAAUGAAUUUCUCUGGAUUUCCAAUUUACAGGCACGUGAUGAUGUAAAAUAAACAUUUUAAUUCAUAGAUUUUGUUCUAUAAACCAUCGACAGCAUUUCUCCCAAAUUCCAUAUCAACACAGGGCUGCUUGUGUAGUUCAUUUGCUCUAAAUAACAAAGAGUUCAAAUCAUGUAAAUAAUUUUUGUUAUAAUUUAUUACUAAAGAGCACAAUCCUAAUGUUUGAAACUAAAAAAAAUAACAUUGACAAAUAAAAUAAUGAGUAUUUUUUUUCCACAGAGGAAUUAAGAAAUGGACAAUAAUUCCAAAAAAAAAUAUUUCUGCAUCAUCUCCCCCCUUUAUAUAUUUUUUUGUUCCACCUUAAAUGCUUGAGCCGCUUAAAUAGUCUGUUGCACUAUUUAAGGUGGAAUGGGAAAGUUAGCUAGCUAGCUACUGAGACAAACUACUGGCAAUCUUUCUUUUUUAUGCUAAUCCUCAUUUUUAACAAGGAACAAGGAAAUUACUGAAAUGUUGGGUUUUGCGAGAAUCGAACCGUCUUUUAUAGUUCUCUGUAUGAAAGACUACACUACACUUCAUCAGCUGUGAUUAGUGGUUUAGUUGGUGUGUUCAGAUGUUUGACUGGUACAGUACUUUAUAUAUAUUUAGGUCAGUAGAGCAGAUUAAAGAGUUACUAUAUGGUCUACAUUCAUACUUUAUAUAUUUUAUUUCCUUAAUUUCGUUUCUUCUCAUUCAUGUCUCUCCUCUGUGUUCCUCUGUGUUCCUGGACGUCUGUAGCUUGGUAGCCCUCAGGGACUUUUAUUUCAGCUCCAUCGUUUCAUCCUGCUGUUUAUUCUGCUCCUCAAGACGCUCCUGUCCUGCAGAAACAUCCUGUUGAACUUUUUAUAAAGAAGAAAAGAUUGUAUUUAUGGAAUAUCAGCGUUUAUGUUCUCCUGAGACUGAGAAAAAAAGAAUUUCUGCAUGCGCCUCCGUCCCCUCCCGACCCCCCGCCUCGCAAAAGCUGGCUUUCUUAAUAAAAUGUACAGUAGAUAAUAUAAAAAUAUUGACGAGGAAUGUGAUCUUGCACUACUUUUAGUUAUCGUACCUCUUUAUGAGAAACAUUCGAUUCCAGCAGCUUAAAAUUAUAAAAAUAAGAAUUAGUGAAAAUAAUAAUUCGUACAUCAGCUUUCAUUACUUUCAGCCAGUGCUUCAUUUCUUCUGCUAAACUAAAACCAUCGUAAUAAUGUAUCCACAGCUUCUGAAAAAAAAGAUAAACUUUUAUAAAGAAAAAAAUAGGUUUUUCCUUCGCUGCUGUAAAAGUUUGGUGACACCGGUUUCCUGAUAUGAUUUAAUAUGCUGCUCUUUCUAUAUGAUUUAGGAGAUGGUCUGAGACACACUUUAAAAUUAAGUACAAAUCUGACAACUCAAACUAGUUACGUAGAUGGUCUGAGACUCACAUUUAAAAUGAAUACAAAUCUAAUCAUUUAAACCACUUCAAGAGGUAGUCUGAGACGCAUUUAAAACUGAUGCAAAUCUGUUCACUUAAACUUCUUCAGGAAAUGGUCUGAAACACACAUUCAAAACAAAUACAGAUCAGACCAUUCAAACCACUUCAGAAGUUAGUCUGAAACAAUCAGAGCAAUCUCUCAAACCCUUUAAGGAGGUGGUCUGAGACAAAUACAGAUCUGAUUAUCCAAAUUAUACUUCAGGAAUUGGUCUGAGACACACAUAUAAAACAGAUUCAAAUCUGAUUAAUCUCUCAAACCCAUUAAGGAGAUAGUCUGAGACUCACAUUUAAAACAGAAACACAUCUAAUCACUUAAACCGUUUCAGAAUGUGGUCUGAGACGCAUUUAAGACGGUUACAAAUCUCUCAAACCCUUUAGGGAGGUGGUCUGAGACUCACAUUUAAAACGCAUACAAAUCUGAGUACUCAAACUACUUCAGGAGGUGGUCUGAGACAGAUACAGAUCUGAUUAUUCAAAUUAUACUUCAGGAGUUAGUGUGAGACGUGCAUUAAAACAGAUAUAAAUCUGACCAAUCCCUCAAACCAUUUAGGGAGGUGGUCUGAGACAAAUACAGAUCUGAUAACCCAAAUUAUACUUCAGGAAGUGGUCUGAGACACACAUAUAAAACAGAUUCAAAUCUGAUUAAUCUCUCAAACCCAUUAAGGAGAUAGUCUGAGACUCACAUUUAAAACAGAAACACAUCUAAUCACUCAAACCGUUGUAGAAGGUGGUCUGAGACGCAUUUAAUACAGAUACAAAUCUGACCAAUCUCUCAAACCCUUUCAGAUCUGGUUCAGAUCUGUAUCUCAAAAUAGAUACAGAUCUGAACCAUCAAAUUGCUUCAGGAGGUGGUCUGAGACACACAUUUAAGGCAGAUAUGGAUUUAAUUUUUAAACCAUCUUAGGAGAUUGUCUAAGACAAUCUGAUCACUCAAACCACUUUAAGAGUUAAUCUAAGACACAUUUAAAACAGAUGCAAAUCUGAUUAAUCCGACCACUUCAGGAAAUAGUCUGAGACGCACAUUUAAAAUCACUACAAAUCUGACCACUCCAACCACUUCAGGAGAUAGUCUGAGACACAUUUAAUACAGAUACAAAUCAUAUCACUCAAACUUUAGAAUGUGGUCUGAGACACGCAUAAAAAAACUGAUAAAAAUCUGACCGAUCUCUCAAACCCUUUAGGGAGGUGGUCUGAGACAGAUACAGAUCUGAUUAUUUAAACGACUUCAGGAGGUAGUCUGAGACACAUUUAAUGCAGAUACAUAUCCUAUCUGUAAAACUACUUCAGGAGUUGGUCUGAGAUGCACAUUUAAAACAGAUAUAAAUCUGACCAAUCUCUUAAACCUUUUAAUUAGAUGGUCUGAGACAAAUUUAAAACAGUUACAAAUCCGGUCAAUCAAACCAUUUUAGUAGAUGGUUUGAGACGCAUUUAAAAACCGAUACAAAUCUGAUCACUCUAACUAGUUAAGGAGGUGGUCUGAGACACACAUUUAAGACAGAUACAGAUCUGACCACUUAAACCACUUCAGGAGAUGGUCUGAGACACACAUUUAAGGCAGAUACGGAUUUGAUUAUUUAAACCACUUUAGGAGAUUGUCUAAGACAUACAAACAUAAAUCAGAUACAAAUCUGAUCAAUCUCCCAAACCCUUAAAAGAGAUGGUCUGGGACGCACUUAAAACACAUACAAUCUGAUCACUCAAACCACUUCAAGAGUUAGUCUGAGACGCACUUUUAAAAUCAGUACAAAUCUGACCACUCAAAUGACUUUAGAAGGUGGUCUGAGACACACAUUUAAGACGAUACAAAUCUUCAUACGAAGAAAUAGACCUGAAGAUGAAGCUCGGGGUUAAAAAUUAGUGUUAUUAGUGGUAGAACUCUAAACCUGCACUUUUCUUAAUAAAUUUAAUAAAUAUAACCAUGAAAACCAAAUCAAUUCAACAGAAUAUUUAAAAAAAAAAAGGGAAAGGUGUCCCCAAACUUUUGCAGGUUAGCGUUAGCCUGGUUAGCGUGUAUUAGCCCACGCUCGGCUACGAGUAUGUUCUUGAAGAUGGUCUGAGAGAAGGUUCGCCGCAGGCUGAUGAUGAUGAUGAUGAUGAUGAUGAUGAUCAGACGGUGGGCGUGGCUCUGUGAGGAAGUUCUUGCUGUUGGUUGUGAAGAAUCUCAGUGUUGUGUUUGAUCUUUUAUCGCUCUGUUCUGAUGGAAAAAAGCCGCCCAAUGAAAAGCGCAUGAUUUCGCUGCUCGAGGGACACGGCUGCACUCUCAAAACCACCAGAUAAUAAAACACACAUCUGAGAUCUGUGAGCUUUAGGUCUUUGUGUAAUACUGGGAAAUAUGAUAAUUAGAACGAUUACAAUCUUUUACUUCAACUAUAGUGUUAAACCUUAGUCUAACAAAAUAAUUCAGACCAGAGAAACCAACUAUACAUGUGAAAACACCUUUAAACUCCUUGAUUUACUUAGAAUUUUUACUAGAUAUUUUGGAUUAGAAGGAUCUAAAAAGUAUAAAAACUAAAAAUUAACUUUGUUCAAAAAGU